UUUGAACAAAAAAAUUCAAGAGAAAUGUCUUAUAAAAUUUAUUUCUCAUUUGUUGUACUAUAAAGAUUUAUAGCAAUCAUCAAACUGUAAUGACGUUGGCAAAUAAAAUUCCAUUUAAAGAUUUGAAAACGAACAUAGACGCUAUAUUGAAAGUAAAUAUUACAAGGUAACAGUAAUUUUCCGCAAAUUAUCCCUUAACUCGUAAUGUAAAAGAAGCAAAAAUAAAAUUAAAGCAAAACGUUUUAACAAAACUUGAUCGACCAGUUGCAAUGACAACAGUUCGACAGUUGUUAAUCUGUUACUUCGUCGCAUAGGUAAACCUGAUCUACAUAAGCGCAAGAGAGCCAUCGUAACUGGCUUCCUUGAUUGAAGGGGCUCGUCUCGGUCGUAGUUGAUAAUGGCAAGUUAGCAGAGGUUAGUUAUAUUACGAACGAGAAAGACAAAGCAGUGACCAGCAAACUGCUUGGAUUACAAAAAGAAAUUAACCAAAUACGAAUAUAAUUGCUAUAUACAUAUAAAGAGCCGUUAUAUUUCAUUUCUGGCUCAAGUAUGGUUUCCAAACUUGUACUUACUUUCAAACACGCGCAUUUGGCUUUCCAUGCAUCGCAUCUAACGUAAUUGACCACAAACGAAAAUCUUUACUCUUUUCUGUACAAUUCAAACUAUAUCUCCAAUACCAGAAUAAAUUCCUUAUGGAUAUCGGGGGAGAUUUGCACGAAAAAGUCAAAACUAACAGCAAAUAAAAAAUACAUCCUCCGCCCACCUACAACAACAUGAAAACAGACCACAAAACCCACGAGCAAGCCUCAAAAGCGUAAACCAUAAAAGAUACUCCACAAAGGACAUAAGAAAGGUACGGAUGUUCUCGCCCAACUAUUUGCUUCUACAAAAUCAACGCAAUAAAUCAGCUUGCCAGUCGAGAAAAACGCUUUGUUGUUGUCAAAUCGGUAAAGUCACAGCGUUUCUAUUAAAAUUUGAUCCCAUUCACCAAUUGCAGCUGCACCAACGGAUAUCCAGUGGUGUCCCCUCUUAUCAAUUUGACUCCUCCUGUUUUCUACGCGAAGAAAUAUCUGGUUGGGUGCAACGACUCGAUAGCAAAUGAAAUCGGAAAUGCAUGGCACGUAACGCUUACGAGGCCAUGUUAAAGUACUAAUAAAGCCGCAAGGAAAGCAAUCGACAGUAAAACAAUUCCAAUAACAAUGAAAAGCAGCUAGGGCUAUAAAAGUGCAAAAGAAUUGCAAAGGAGUAAAAAUCCAACUGAAAAUGAGUUAAGUUGUGUGAGGACCGGUAGAAGCGCGCCACAUGCAAUCCUUGGCAGCAAUAUUGAUGAGCAUACACGAUGAAAAUACAAACAACAACUUCAAAUGUUGUACAUGAGUGGCUUAAAUAAAAACUAUAACAAUGUUAAUAAUAGCAAUGAUCAUAAAAAUAGUACUUAGUUGAAACUGUAGUGUUGCUCUAGCAAUAGUGGUCCAGUAGUAACUACGUUUAAAAAGGGUCUAUCAAGAAGAA